AGAGUUUGAUCCUGGCUCAGAACGAACGCUGGCGGCGUGGAUAAGACAUGCAAGUCGAACGAGAGAAUUGCUAGCUUGCUAAUAAUUCUCUAGUGGCGCACGGGUGAGUAACACGUGAGUAACCUGCCCCCGAGAGCGGGAUAGCCCUGGGAAACUGGGAUUAAUACCGCAUAGUAUCGAAAGAUUAAAGCAGCAAUGCGCUUGGGGAUGGGCUCGCGGCCUAUUAGUUAGUUGGUGAGGUAACGGCUCACCAAGGCGAUGACGGGUAGCCGGUCUGAGAGGAUGUCCGGCCACACUGGAACUGAGACACGGUCCAGACACCUACGGGUGGCAGCAGUCGAGAAUCAUUCACAAUGGGGGAAACCCUGAUGGUGCGACGCCGCGUGGGGGAAUGAAGGUCUUCGGAUUGUAAACCCCUGUCAUGUGGGAGCAAAUUAAAAAGAUAGUACCACAAGAGGAAGAGACGGCUAACUCUGUGCCAGCAGCCGCGGUAAUACAGAGGUCUCAAGCGUUGUUCGGAAUCACUGGGCGUAAAGCGUGCGUAGGCUGUUUCGUAAGUCGUGUGUGAAAGGCGCGGGCUCAACCCGCGGACGGCACAUGAUACUGCGAGACUAGAGUAAUGGAGGGGGAACCGGAAUUCUCGGUGUAGCAGUGAAAUGCGUAGAUAUCGAGAGGAACACUCGUGGCGAAGGCGGGUUCCUGGACAUUAACUGACGCUGAGGCACGAAGGCCAGGGGAGCGAAAGGGAUUAGAUACCCCUGUAGUCCUGGCAGUAAACGGUGCACGCUUGGUGUGCGGGGAGUCGACCCCCUGCGUGCCGGAGCUAACGCGUUAAGCGUGCCGCCUGGGGAGUACGGUCGCAAGAUUAAAACUCAAAGAAAUUGACGGGGACCCGCACAAGCGGUGGAGUAUGUGGCUUAAUUCGAUGCAACGCGAAGAACCUUACCUGGGCUUGACAUCCUACUAACGAAGUAGAGAUACAUCAGGUGCCCUUCGGGGAAAGUAGAGACAGGUGGUGCAUGGUUGUCGUCAGCUCGUGUCGUGAGAUGUUGGGUUAAGUCCCGCAACGAGCGCAACCCCUAUUGUUAGUUGCUACGCAAGAGCACUCUAGCGAGACUGCCGUUGACAAAACGGAGGAAGGUGGGGACGACGUCAAAUCAUCAUGCCCCUUAUGUCCUGGGCUACACACGUAAUACAAUGGCGGUCAACAGAGGGAUGCAAAACCGUAAGGUGGAGCGAACCCCUAAAAGCCGUCUCAGUUCAGAUUGUGGGCUGCAACCCGCCCACAUGAAGUCGGAAUCGCUAGUAAUCGCGGAUCAGCAUGCCGCGGUGAAUACGUUCCCGGGCCUUGUACUCACCGCCCGUCA
rnacentral:rRNA from 1 species